AGCCAGUCUUUACUGAUGAGGCAAUGAAAAUUGCCAAAACUGACA
rnacentral:hammerhead_ribozyme from 15 species